rnacentral:rRNA from 1 species
AUACGUAGGGGGCGAGCGUUGUCCGGAAUGAUUGGGCGUAAAGGGCGCGUAGGCGGCCCGGUAAGUCUGGAGUGAAAGUCCUGUUUUUAAGAUGGGAAUUGCUUUGGAUACUGUCGGGCUUGAGUGCAGGAGAGGUAAGUGGAAUUCCCAGUGUAGCGGUGAAAUGCGUAGAGAUUGGGAGGAACACCAGUGGCGAAGGCGACUUACUGGACUGUAACUGACGCUGAGGCGCGAAAGUGUGGGGAGCAAACAAGAUUAGAUACCCUGGUAGUCCACACUGUAAACGAUGAAUGCUAGGUGUAGGGGGUAUCGACCCCUUCUGUGCCGCAGUCAACACAAUAAGCAUUCCGCCUGGGGAGUACGGCCGCAAGGUUGAAACUCAAAUGAAUUGGCGGGG